UUUUGUGUAGCUCAGUGGUAGAGUGCAUGCUUAGCAUGCAUGAGGCCCGAGAUUUGGUACCUAGCACAAAAA
rnacentral:tRNA from 1 species